UCGGUGCCGCAGCUAACGCAUUAAGUACUCCGCCUGGUAAGUACGCUCGCAAGAGUGAAACUCAAAGGAAUUUACGGGGACCCGCACAAGUAGCGGAGCAUGUGGUUUAAUUCGAAGCAACGCGCAGAACUUUACCUAAGCUUGACAUCCCAAUGACAUCUCCUUAAGCGGAGAGUUCCCUUCGGGGACAUUUGUGACAGGUGGUGCAUGGUUGUGGUCAGCGCG
rnacentral:rRNA from 1 species